rnacentral:rRNA from 1 species
GAUGAAUGCUGGCGGCGUGCCUAAUACAUGCAAGUCGUGCGGCAGCGCGAGUAGUUUACUACUUGGCGGCGAGCGGCGGACGGCUGAGUAACGCGUGGGAACGUGCCCCAAAGUGAGGGAUAAGCCCGAGAAAUCGGGUCUAAUACCGCAUAUGGUCUUCGGAUUAAAGCUUCGGCGCUUUGGGAGCGGCCCGCGUACGAUUAGAUUGUUGGUGAGGUAAUGGCUCACCAAGUCGACGAUCGUUAGCUGGUCUGAGAGGAUGAUCAGCCAGACUGGAACUGAGACACGGUCCAGACUCCUACGGGAGGCAGCAGUAAGGAAUCUUCCACAAUGGGGGCAACCCUGAUGGAGCAACGCCGCGUGCAGGAUGAAGGCCCUCGGGUCGUAAACUGCUUUUAUGAGUGAAGAAUAUGACGGUAACUCAUGAAUAAGCACCGGCUAACUACGUGCCAGCAGCCGCGGUCAUACGUAGGGUGCAAGCAUUAUCCGGAGUGACUGGGCGUAAAGAGUUGCGUAGGCGGUUAGUAAAGCGAAUAGUGAAACCUGGUGGCUCAACCAUACAGACUAUUAUUCGAACUCACUAACUCGAGAGUGGUAGAGGUAACUGGAAUUUCUUGUGUAGGAGUGAAAUCCGUAGAUAUAAGAAGGAACACCAAUGGCGUAUGCAGGUUACUGGACCAUUUCUGACGCUAAGGCACGAAAGCGUGGGGAGCAAACGGGAUUACAUACCCCGGUACUCCACGCCGUAAACGAUAGGAUACUAUAUGUUGGACGUCUCCACCCCUAAGUAACCAAGCUAACGCGCUAACUAUCCCGCCUGUGCAGUACGGCAGCUAGCUAAAAUUGACCGGAAAUGACAGGGAUCAUAGAAGUUGUUCGAUCAUGUUCUUCAAAUCAAAUGAACCAUCCCUAACCUUGACUGUGUCUGACCUC